rnacentral:rRNA from 1 species
GACGAACGCUGGCGGCAGGCUUAACACAUGCAAGUCGAGCGAGCGGCGGACGGGGGAGUAAUGUCUGGGAAACUGCCAGAUGGAGGGGGAUAACUACUGGAAAAGGGAGCUAAUACCGCAUAAAAUGAGAGGUGCCCAGAUGGGAUUAGCUAGUAGGUGGGGUAAUGGCUCACCUAGGCGACGAUCCCUAGCUGGUCUGAGAGGAUGACCAGCCACACUGGAACUGAGACACGGUCCAGACUCCUACGGGAGGCAGCAGUGGGGAAUAUUGCACAAUGGGCGCAAGCCUGAUGCAGCCAUGCCGCGUGUGUGAAGAAGGCCUUCGGGUUGUAAAGCACUUUCAGCGAGGAGGCGUUACUCGCAGAAGAAGCACCGGCUAACUCCGUGCCAGCAGCCGCGGUAAUUC